AAUGCACAAUGGAAUUUAUCUGAUAUACUUCAAAAAGAAGUAUCCAUAUUUUUUUAACCGAGUAAGGGGCAUCACAGUACAUGUAAACAAAAAUCACUCUGCUUCUUCAGAGAUUUAUCAAGUGGCACCAUGGUUAACAGGUUACGUGAUCCAUUGAUACAUGAUGUAUAGAAAUUUGCAUCUUAAUAGAAACAUGUACACCGACUAAGCAAACUGGACUAUGCAACACUUUUACAUCUUCAAAAAGGCUUAAAUGCACCAAAACUGAAGAGAAAAAGGGCAUCUCUUCCAGCAAGCUUCAGAUAACAUCACAUGUACUUUUGGAGGUCGAAUAUAAUGGAGGUGCUCCUAUGGAAAACAGUUACAACAUAAGUUAGACUUGAUUCAGAAACAAUACUGAAUUGGGUACUAUGAGAAAAGAAACAGAAAAAAGAGCUUCAGAAAUUGUUUACACCAGAAACUAUAAGUAACCUGAUCUACGUAAUUUGUUAAGAUGUUUAACAUUAACAUUUUAAUUAGGUAGAUUGGGUGACACAGGGUGCUUCUCAUCUGGUUCUACAAUUAAUUUGGCCGGUGGCCGUGACAGUUAAACAGAGAACUGAACAAUAUACUGACAAACAUACUCAGUUACUCACUUUACCAGAAUUUGCACUAGCGGGAUGAUGAGUCGGUCUCAUAUCCUCGCUAAAGUUGAGAUGAAUAUACCCAUUAUUUGGCAUCGCUAAUACAUCGGCCACUCCAUUAUAAGAAAUAUUACAAAAAAUACUGCACGCAACCAAGUCGUACCAGAUCUAUGAUGUUUCUGCAUAGUUGCCUCAAAGAAAGAUUUAGAAGAAGAGCGGCUAAAAUCAAUGCCGCUCUAGGAGAGGAAUUGUUGCUGCGAGGAAUUUUGUAUGAUGAUAGCGAGGAAAAUCGAUCAGGUACCUGACAAGUGAUCGGUGGACUCCAAAGCUGCCUGCGGUUGGAGAACUCGGAGACUUGGAAUAGACUUCUCCAUCGACCAGUAAGAUUGUUUUCACGGAUGUCACUCUGUUGUUGGCGACGCGGAAGGCAGUGGUCGCCGAUUCCAGCCACCUAGAAACCGUCAGAGAAUGAGAGUUGAGUGCCUCUGUACAAGAUCUGAUUUCGAACAGGAGAGUAGCACGCCCGAAACAAACCUGGUCAGUCAGGCCACAGUUGGCUGGAGAGAAGAUG
rnacentral:lncRNA from 1 species